rnacentral:lncRNA from 1 species
AAUAAUUGAUUAAAUGAAGUGGUAAUUGAUUAAUGUUAAUCGAUUAACACUAGGAAAAAUCGAUUAUUACAACAAAGUCUGAAAAUUGAAAAUUGCUCUAUAAUAAUCGAUUAACAGAAGUUGUAAUCGAUUAAUACUUAAAUUAUUCGAUUAACACUUCUAAUUGUUGGAGCUUUUAGCCGUUUUUAGUCGUUGGACUAUCCGUU